UUUCUCCGAUGCUCUAGAUUACGCGAAGACCUUACCAACACUUGACAUGUUCGUCGCGACUCUAAGAGAUUAGAGUUUUCGGUUCGGCCGGACGAAACACAGGUGCUGCAUGGCUGUCGUCAGCUCGUGUCGUGAGAUGUUGGGUUAAGUCCCGCAACGAGCGCAACCCUCACUUUUAGUUGCCAUCAUUAAGUUGGGCACUCUGAAAGAACUGCCAGUGAUAAGCUGGAGGAAGGUGGGGAUGACGUCAAGUCCUCAUGGCCCUUACGUGUUGGGCUACACACGUGCUACAAUGGUAUCUACAACAGGAAGCAAGACUGCGAGGUCAAGCAAAUCCUUAAAAGAUACCUCAGUUCGGAUUGCACUCUGCAACUCGAGUGCAUGAAGCUGGAAUUACUAGUAAUCGUGGAUCAGCGUGCCACGGUGAAUGCGUUCCCGGGUCUUGUA
rnacentral:rRNA from 1 species